rnacentral:lncRNA from 1 species
CAUAGUAUGCCCGAUCGGCAUAUUUUUUUGUUUUACGCCCCGUAACUCUUCCUCAGCCAGGCUUGGGCAGAAUAGCAGAGCAAGUAUUAGUAGCAUAACAAAAAAGCCUUCCUCGUCAUUAAUAUCUUUGCUCGCGGCAAUUGUGACCUCUCGGGAGAAUCGAUGACUGCAUCUUUGAUGCAGUGCUAGUACAUCUGAGACUUCUUAAUUGGCUAGUUGUAAAUAGCCCCACCCCAGGGCUAUGGAACAAAGGAUUAUCUCGGACCUAGACCGAGGUAUUGAUGGUGAUUUUCUAAUCUCGCAGAACAGAAUGUGAUACGAUGAGAUAGAAUGCAAUAGAAACAAAGACAGGGAACGGGUUACCUACUGUUAACGGGCAAAGCGAGCCCCUUUAUUCUUCAUUCUUUAAUUCAGAAUCAAUCAAAUCUCCCCAAGUAGGAUUCGAACCGAUGACUUUCUUAGCCGGGCGAACUGAUCAACUUGCAUGUGUUAAGCAUAUAGCUAGCGUUCCUUCUGAGCCAGGAUCAAACUCUUCUUUUGACCAUGAUUGAGCCCUGCAGUGGUAGAACCUAGUGAACCAGACAUACGACUGGAAACCUGAAUAGCCCUUCUUCUCUUAUGAGAUUUCGAGGCUAGCUUUUUCUCGUACUAUACCAUCUAUACCAUCCAAAGAAGUAAGGAGAAUUCUCAUCCCGGUGCCAAGUAAGCCAAGCCGGCAGCGUCAGGGAUAGGGUACGGUCUUUCUAAUGAAUUUACAUACUGAUGAGCCAAGAUCAAAAGCUAGAAAGGGUAUUUUGGUAGUAAAGAGAGAACCCCGAUCAGUAGAUAGAGAUGGCCUUUAGCAAGAGGCUCAACCGAUAGUCCAAAGGUUCUAGACCCAGACGGUUAUAACGAGACUAAUAAGUAGAAAGUACACGCCCCUUGCAUUUUACUCAAGCCCUAGAAACGUCUGAAGCCUAUGCUUUUGCUUCGGAGUUCGUGUCGGCGGGAGGGUCCUCGUUCAUUUGUUUCCAAAACUAUAGGAGAAGGGUAUCCCAUUUUAUGAAGCGGAUUCGACUGGAGAUGGGUAUUCAAAUGUAGAUUCAGUAGAUUCAUAUGCGUCCGCCUGUAUCCGCAGAUGAAGAUGAGGAUUUAGCUUCUUCGGGAGAUUAUGGAACAACGGAUUCUUAUUCUUUUGAUGGCGGGUGAAACAGUGGGCAAUUCUAUAUUAUAUAGUCUAAUUGAGAAGGGCAUGCGUCUUUUUCUGCGCCGGUUUUGCUUAUCUUUUGCAGAUACGUCUACUUUCUCUCCUUUGGUUUGCGGCCCCCAACUGGAGCUAUUGCUUGUCGGCUUCGGGCUCUUAGCCAACGGUUACCGUCAAACCCUUCCACGGAUCACUCACCUACUUACCCUGAGACCAAUGAUCUUGAAGCAGAACCAGCUCCACUGAUGAUCAUCGCGAAAUCACACUAAGAAAGGUAGAUGGGAACAGCGCAUAAACGGCUUAUUCCUAAUUCCUAAGGUAAAAGGGUUUCCCUUAGAUUAUGCCUUUCCACUAGACUAAAAGAAGACGGUGACUCUACGAGGAAUCAGGCUUAUAAAAGAAAAGGAGGGACUCGAAAUUGGUUAUCAGUCAGGUCGUGGGAGACUAGGGAGUUUAAGUGGAUUCCGUAGCAAGAGCUAGCCGAAUAUAUCCUAUAUCUAUCUUUCUUGCGAAGGUCCUCGACGCAUCAGCUACAUAAUAUCUGUAAAAAUCUUGCCACUGGCGAACCAUAAUCUCUGGUGCUAUCGACCUUUCGGAAAGGCUGACUUGAACACAAAGCCAAUCUUCGAGAGGUUAGUGGAUAGCUGUAACCAGUUCGUCCUUCUUCGGAGAAAUCGGGGAGCGGGCUUAAGGCUAGGGCCCCUCCGCGCAUCAGAAAUCCUUGCUUACGAUCUGGAGAGAAGGAUCUUUUCCAAGAAAGACCUAUUGCCCUUAUUACUCCAAGAGAUUCAAAGCGGCUUUAGAUUAGUUGAUUAGACAAUUCCUACUGCUGUGCUAAAGGCUAGAGAGGCAAGAAGAACAUCUUACUCAACAAGAGUAUCGGAAGAGAUGCGCCUUCGGGACUUCCCUUUUAGCGUGGGAGUAGAGAAGGAAAAGGCGAAGCUGAGUCAUAUAAUAAGUAAGGGAACAAAGUGAGCUAUAAGGCGAUUGAAUUCAUUUCAGUUUAGUUGAUAUGAAAGCUAGCAGAGCUCAUAUCGCAUUUGAAAGCAAGUGAGAUAUCACUAUUGAUUGAUUGAUUGAUAGAAAGCCCUAUUGUAGACUAAUAGCUCUAGCUUUCGAUUUGUUAGGAAGAGCUAUUAUUCAUAGUAAUUUCCCGCUUCAAGCAAAGUCAAGGACCUUUCCUCAUUGGCCUUCGGCUUCAGCAAAUUGAUCUGGGACCUUGUUUCGGUAUAAGGACCAAGCCUUCGAGAGUCAUCCUUCUUGCUACUUUGUUUUGUUAGAGGGGGUUCUUUAGACUCUCGGAACAAGGCUGUUGGUUGUUUCUCAGUCAGGCAUGUCUGUGCUGCGCCAACGGGGAUGGAGGAGAUGCCCCGUCAGGAGGUGUUAUGCGCAGACCACUCAAUCUUUUGGAAACUGGGUCCGCUGGGGCGGGUUCUUUGGUUAGCACACUUAUCUGGGAGCUUUGUUUUUCUUCAUGACUGCCGAUCAUAAUUCACUUCGCAUCCAUCAAGCUCUGAACCUUCAUUUUGAAAUCUUCGCAAUCUCGGAUGGAAUGACCUUUUGCUCCUUGAUGAAACUCACAUGAUUCAUCUUUUUCAUAACUAGUUAGUUGAGAUUGCUCUUCGUAAAGUUCUGCUCUCCUCUCUUUCUCUUACGUAUCUAGUUCUAUAGCUUAACCCUUACUUUUUCGAUUGCUCCGCACCUUAAUUAAUCGCUUUUCGUAGCGAACUUCGUUUGGAGAAUUAGCGACUUCUGCUUUAGUUUGAACUCCGACCUAUUCCGUUCGUUUGAUCGACUCCUCACCCUUCCGACUCCACUUACUUUCAACGCUUUCUUUCUUCUCUGGAAUCGAGUUCUUUUCUUCCUCACCGACUUCUCUUCCAUUCGUAGCUUUCUUUCCAGAAUUGGCUUUAGCUUAACGAGCUACAACGUAUGGAACUACUCUCCCAACAACAGUGGUUGCAGCUUUAGCUGCUUUCCCGUUCUAACCACGCAUUAAAGUACCGAGCAACACGGUAGAAGUCGCAUUUCUUAGUCCUAUAUCGCAACUCAAUCAUUGGACUAAUUGCUCCCUAAUCCCCGCUAUUCUCUUGUUCCGUACCUCGCGUAAAGCACUCUUAACCUUUCAUCAGCGGAAUAAGAACUUCUUUCUUUAAUUGCUACCGACCUUGAAUCUCAUUCUUCUAUAUCAUCUCUUGAAUCUCUUGCUCCUAUCGUUGCGGCGAACGAACUGGUAGAAUUUUCUAGAGCUACUCGACCGGAAUGGGCUUUUGUCAUUGGUAGAAGUAGCGGAAGCCGCUUUAAAGCCAACAUUCGAUUCGGCGGAAGUCUUUAGGAUGGUCGAAUUGCUAGUUAGCAGUUUAGUUCCUGGUGAUGUAAUCCGGAGAGCGACCUUUGUUCCACAAUCCCUUACAUAGCCCAGUUAUACCGUCGAAUCUUCUUCAAGAGUGGAAUUAGCUCAAGCAGCUUUUUAACUCUAUGCGACGUAUUUCUAAGUUGAAUUGGCGGAAGCUGCUCUCCUUUCACCCUUUGCUCCGACCUAUGUAUUGAACUCCAUUAGCUCCGAACAACAAUAUGGAAGUCGUAACGCCCCCUGGCUUGGGUAUAGCUGCCGUUAGCUUUCGCCCCUGUUCUCCCUUCGAUCUCCUUCUCGGUGAAUUAACCGACCGCUACGCACCUGAAUUAAGAGCUACUUCGUAUUGAACUCCUAACGCCCUUCGCUUCGGUGGAGCCGUUACCUUUCAACACGCACUUCGCUACCGACUUCCGGAAUUAAUACCCUAGUUCGACCGUUCAUCAAUACGAGCGUUCUGAUACAGUAUCUAUUCAGCUUCAGCUUAUUCAACGCUAUAUAAACUAGAAGCAAACUCUCCAAAUUUCUGACCAACCUUUCCUUCAGUAAGAAACCAACGAACAGGACUUUUUCCAUUGUAAAUUCGUACGGAGCUGAAUAGAAGGAAGAAAGGAGAUUCGGGAACGAGUGGUUACCGUCUUGCUCCAUACUUUACGCUACGCACCGGGGAAUACUGGUAAUUCCUAGCGUAGCACCACUCUGACUCCGUUUAUUACGCAACAUCGGUUAGAGCUAUUGGUAUUGAAGCAGAACGAGUGGAAUACUAGUAGCAAUGGUCCGUGUAGCGUAGCACCAAUACGGGCUACGGCACUGUUCUCCCCUGUGCGGUCCGAGUUCGUUCACCAAUUCUCUCUAUCGCUUCGCACCUCUCCUUCUCUCCCCUGUUCGAGCUAUUAACCGAUGUUGCGCAUCGUUCGUAGUGAUGUGAGAGGAGUGGACGCUAUUCGACCUAUAGGGUUAAUCAGCGUAGCACCUCUGCGGUUCAUUCUCUUCUACGGUCUCACAGGGCUAUGUUAGUCAUCCAGUUUGUCUCUCAAAAACCGGGGUUUUAGCCAAUUUUUAUCAUAAAAGCAGCUUCCGAAUUGCAACUUCAUACCAUAAACAGCUUAAAAAGCCAGUUUCAGUGCUUUUGCAUAUAUAUGCGACAGAAAAAAAGACUCAAAAAGCUGCUUUUUUUGGCAACUUCCUUCCUAAAAUGCCUUUUUCUGUGGUUUUGCACAUAUAUGCGACAGAAAGAAUUUGAAGAAAAGCAGCUUACGAAUGAGAAGUUUAGUGCGCUUCUUCCCUUGCGCCAUUGUUCGCUAUGACCAGUAUUUCCAUUGUGGAAUUGGACUAAGAGUUCGAAGUGAUGUUCUGCAAAGCCGCUUUCGAGAACCUAAAGAAAAUAAUUCUAUCUCUUACACCCAGGUAGGUAGAUGACGAGAUGGUUGUAGAUGGUAGAAGAUUCCUCGAAUCACCGAUCUUACUCUGAUCGUAGAGGAUCAUCUCCAGAACGUAGAGUAAAGGACCAGAGCUUCAGUACGCCUUGAUCCGGAGAAAUGGAUAAGAAAGAAAAUGGAAGUGACUAAGAAGAAAGCAAUUCCAGGUCAAAGCAGCGAAGGAAUGCAGCAGUAGCAGAUUCAACAACAACGGGCGAAGCAGAAUAGAAAGUAGGAGGUUUCCCCGGGAUAGCAGCCAAUUCAGGAUAGGAAAUCGACGAAUUCUUUGAGAAAAAGAACGUACAAAGUGAGUCUUCCAACGGGUUGACUUAUUUCCAAUUCGUUGAUUGAACAAAUAGACUUCCUUACCGGGGAAGAUAUUCUUUCUAUCUUAUUUGCCCAACGAGGGAGUAAAAGAACGGGAGAGAGAAGGAGAAGAGGGAGAGGAGUGAAGCUUCUUUUUAGUCGAUUUCACCCCUUUUCUUCCUGACAUUACAUCCCAUUGUUUGCACCGCAGUUCCAUAUCUUAGGCCUCUUUCUUCUUUACCCAACGUAUGGAACGAGUUCCCACUCUAUACGGAAAGAAAAGACGGGAAUGCAGCAACUCAUGGAGAAAUAGAUGAAUUCGAUUCUCCGGCCGAACUAGGAUAUGUUGGUCGAAUAGCAUCCGCCAAUGAAACGAGGAGAAUAGCUCGGUUUUCUGGUAACAUCGCCCUUGAACUGUAAUACUUUAUCCGAGGUUUUUAGUCGAUUUCACCCCUUUUCUUCAUUACAGAACUUAGAACCAGGGAAUUUCAACCCUAGUUUCUUAGGCCAGGGGCCUUUCUAUAACAUCAAUAGCUUCCACUCCUGUUAAAGCAGAAUCGGCCAAUGCCGGAAAUGAAAGAGAAUCAUUCGACGGUCGGAUAAAAGGGGUUGGUAAGGAUUUACUCCAAGGGCAGAACGAAAUGAAAGAAAUGUUUGGUCGAAAGGCUCGUAAUGAAAGAAGGCGGUAAUGUCACCUAUCAUUAAGUGGAAGACUUUCCGCUAUACUGGUCGUACAGAAAAGAAAGAUUUCGAUUCUCAGGUCUCUAGGAAGAGAUCAAUCCGUUGUUAGGAAUCUUGUAUAGAAAGGUUGUUUCGAUCAUCGGGUUUCUUCAGUUUGUGUCCUAGUACCCUUACUUCUGUCUUUGAUCGCUACGGAACUUGCACCAAAUUCCUCUCUAUCUUUGAGUUCUUCUAUCAUAGACGAAUACGCCUAUGCGAGUAAAAGAAGGUACGAAGUGGUGAUAGUGGAAUACUUUACGCCUCGAAAGAGAAGAAAGAGAGUCUGUUUUAUCCUUAAUAAUUACCAAGUUUUUGCCUAACGCAGGUUUGGAACCCAUUAGAGGAGUAGAAUACGUCUAUUCGAUGUUUGAAGGAGUGGAAUUCGAAUCAAGAGAAGAUUCCGAAUAAAGGUCGGAGAAGAGAACUUGAGUAGAGGAUUACCCAUCGUAUGACUUAUGAGUGUUCGAGUUCCAGUCUUCUCAUUUGAACCAAAGUUCUUAGUCUCGAAUAAGAAAGAAAGGAGUAAAGGGGUUGGAAGGGCCCGGAAGAGGAAGUGGCUGAACUCCUCCCGAACCAACACAGCAAACAACAACCAAAGAGAAAACAUCCUCUAAAUAAACACCAAAGUGAGAUAGAAAAUGUGUGCGCAAACAACACCCAAAUAACGAGAUGGAAAAUAGAAGAGAGAGAUCUAUGAGAAAGACAAGUCGAAAGCCAGAUUUUUGAUUCAAACGAAAACUCUUUCUACGAACGAUAAGGGUCAGGCCCAAAAGAAGGAUUCCAAAAAGUAGGAGAUUUCGACUUGUGAUCAUGAUAGCGGUUCCUUCUUUUCCUAGAAAAUGAACAAAAGAAUUGGCUGCUAUGAAAGUCAGAAAGGGCAAAAAAUAACGAAGGAGAGUCAUGGGUUCUAUAUGGACCGCAAUUUCGGUACGACCAGCGCGGUUGUUCCUAUUUCAUUUUCUUCUUCCAAGCUCGUCGCACUAGCACUAAGUUACUUACGGAAUCUCAGAUCUCUCUCGACACGGAGAACUUCUCUUUUGUUUACGCUAUUUCAAGUGAGAAUUCCAGUUCCGCCUGUUCCCGGCUAUUGCAUCUUCCCUGCCACACUGCUUCAACAAGAGCUUCUUAGCGACCUACUGCCCUACCACCAAGACCGGUAAGACCAAGAGCAGCGGAUUCAAUAGCAUCGGCGAGAGAGAGAAUUCCUAUUGAAUUAGCUUUCCUGGGGAAUAAGAUAUUAACGAAAAGGCUAUACCAAAGAGAAUACAUCAUUCUCGAAAAGGUCGAAGGACGAAGAAGAGCUCCAAGCAAGAGAUAUUAUUCACUAAAAGCAGCUAGCAGGUGAGAAUAAAGAACUACCAUUGUUGCUGACAGCUACACGGAUUCACCACUACUUAUGAAUUCUUACUCCUGCUCCUAGACAAACGUUGAAGCAAGGAAAGAAGUAGCUCGACGGAUAAUGCUCUCUUCACUCCUUGUUGUCACUGACAUUUCCUGUUCGACGCUCGGAUUAGCAGGCUUGAUCAUUCAAUCAUAUAAUCAUGCCUCCUAUCGUGCUUUCAUUAUAGAUUAACUAGCACGAGUAGUGGCUUCACUAGCUUAUCUGGGGUACCCCCGGGGAGGCAAAGCACCAGUGGUUGCAUCAGUACCGGCAUAACCUUUCUAUUUAUUUAGGAAAUAAAGAAAGGACUGGUACUGAACUAGUAGAUACGGUUGAGUCAGUUGUUGAUCCAGAAGCGGUAGAAGUGGAAGCCAUAUCAAGAGAGAAGUGAUGGCUUUCCCUGUACAAUAGACCCAGUAGAUCCAGUUGAUUAUGCCCGCGCUCAUGAUAGGGAUUCCGUUUAUGGCGUGUGGUUCAGUUCCAUAUCUAGAAGCAUACCAGGAUAUAUACUCAUAUUGGCUUCCAUACCUAUCACUGGUAGAGUUAACAGCAUAUCAACCUAUGACUAGUAGACCCAUACCGAGUUCAUCCUUAUGAUCGUAGUAGAGAUUCAUACCUCACACGUGAUCGAGACCUAUACCCCCCGAACCGCUUGCAGCUUUCGAGCUGUAGUUUCUCGAGGAGCUAGAGCUGUAGCAGGAGAAUCUGGCAUCGGCAAGGGACCGGGAAGGCCCCAAUUGAGGGAGAACGAGCUCUCACCCAGAUCGGCAAAGAUUCGCUUAAGAGUAUAAGGUAUCUCAUUGAAAGGAACUUUUUAGGAAUUGUUAACGAUGGUAGGCCCUGUGCUUCUACAGCAGGAGUUUCAGUUCCCAAACGAGUCUAUUAGACAUCAUCUCAUCCCCGUUCCGUGUGAACACCUAUGGAUUCUUAUAGCUCGGAUAGCAGCUCAAGGUUAUUGAAUCUCCAAAGCCUAAUUCCUGAAAGAAUGGAAUGGUAUUAGCUAGCCUUUCAACCAUCGACAUAUCUGUUCCCGAUCCUUCCACACCCGAGAAAAAGCAAGUCACGUUGCAGGGCCUACUCUCGCAUUUCAUUAGAAAACCCCAGUUCGUGCUCCUCACCUAUUGAUCAAACUACAUAGAGAAAGUGGUCAGGGUAUCUUCAAAGAGGCUUCCAGCCAUCAAAGAAAAUAAAAAAGGACACGGACGGAAAGCAAAUUAGGACAUGAUUCCUUAAGGCGGGAGAUCCACCCCGGCUUAUAUAUGUGCACGAACCGGGACUGCUUCUAUCUCAGCAACUACCCUCGGCUCAUCAGCUCCUCAAUCAACUUCCAGAGAAGAAUAACAGAUUCUCCACUACAGAACAAACUCACCAGCCAUACAUCAUAUCAUAACACUCCAAAAAGAAGAGCUACUAUUUUCAGUGUUGCUCGAAGACCACUACAACGAUUCCCAUUCAUUCAUGAACGGGCUUGACGAUUGUCACUUCAGAUGAUUCUAUGCCAGCCUAACCUUACGCCCAUGAUAAAAGGCAAUGGUAUUUUCCCACCUACGGCUACAUGCCUAUUAAGAGCUAUACCAGGAGUCAAGCUAACUGCAUCGGAAGAGGGUUUUUAUGUUGAUUGAUCCCGUUUUCAAUCGAAUCCCUCGAGUCAGGAGAGAUACCUUGAGAACAGUAAAAGCAGAAUCCUAUUUCCUAUUAAGUUAAGUAAGUAAAUAAGAAGUCUUUGUCUCGUCCCUUCCCAUGUCCCAGCCAUGGUAGGCUAAAGCCGAAAGAUAGAGCAGUCACCUUCAAGCUCUAAGUCAAGAAAUCAAGCAACAAAGACCGUUACUAAUAAGAUAGAAAAGAGCUAUCAUCCUCGGAUGACAGUCCCUUUACCUUUAAAGACAGAAGCGCAUCCAACCCUGUUCUUUUGGCAGCAAAACGGCGGAUGUUCUUAGUCUUUGUUGGUCAUAUCACAUAUAUUUCUGUGGCAGGAGAAUAUGAGGUUUGCCCACUCAGGCUCAUGUCGGCAGUGUAAAGGCUUGAUGAGAUCGGAGAUUCUCAUUGGGGGAAUUUGGAUAUCUUAAUCUUAUCUUCUGAGUGGCCUCCGCCUGAUGGUUCCUUCCAUGGCUUAUGGCUGUUCUUGGUGGUAAGUUUUUCAUUUCAUCUUGUUUUCCGGGUCUUUGAUCUCGUAAUUCUUCCUUUGCAGUUCUGGGAGUACAUUUCUAUUGCUGUGCCCGUAGUUUACAGUUUACUAUUCAAUGUCUGUGUAUUUCCGAUUGGAUUGUUCUCUGGAAGAGUUCUGGAGUGAGGGUAGUUCAUGUUGAUUUGGAGAUAGAGAUGACGGAGGAAGAGUAUAGUGUCCCAGAGCCUUGAGAUCUUUUGGUGGAGAGAGAAUGGAUAUGAUAUGCCAAUUACUACUCUGCGUAUCUGAUGUGUGCUUCGGAGUAUUGGAAUGCUGAUCAGAGGCGGGCGACGGUAGCGUAACAGCCAGGUUAGGCGCUCCAGCAGCUCUAGGAGUUCCCGUUCUCGCUUUUCUUGAUCUUCCAAGCUUGAAGCUCUCCAGCUUUGAGAAAGGAGAGACAGCCAUUUGAUACAUGACAAUGGAGAAUAGUACUAUACUUAUACUACUGCUUUCUUUUAUGUUUCCUAUGCAGCUAAUAAGCUAUGAAUGAUGAUAUGUGAUGCAUGCUUUGACUUCUAAGGCUUGACAGGUAUUUUUGGUCGAUUUCCAGUUGACUGCCUCAACCUAUCGAUUAAGUGAGUUGGAGAAGAAAGUCUUAUUAUACUAUUUAUUUAGGUGCAAAGAGCAUAUGACACGAAUUCCGUAUAAGAUAAAUCGAUUCCAACCUUGGCUCAGGAGCUUCCUUAAGCCAUACUACCAAUUGCACUGGAUUCUCUGGUAUCCAAGAUAUUCCUAAGAGCCUCUCAGUAGCAAUCGGAAUCUCACUCAAUCUUUAGUUUCAAUGCUAAAUGGGAGCCUAGUUCAAUGGAAUAGUUCGAAGCGAGAGGUUGUGGGCAAUGUACACUAAAGUGUCUUACCCUCUUGACCUUUGGUUAGGAAGGGGUUUCCCUUUUGGAUCCCUAUGUUAAAGGGGCCCUUUUACGUAGAGAACUUAAACCUAAGCAGUUGAGACUUCCUCCAGAUGAAGUCCAUCUUGGCCCUGGGGCCGUGGACUUCUUGGAAUGGUCAAUUCUGCGAAGGUAUGUACAUACCUGGUUAGAGUAUCUCGCCUGGUAUGCUCAGCAAUCAGUUCACCCUCUAUUGAAUCUUGGUUUGAUGGUCCAGACCUCUUGGAAGAUUAAGGAUGAAGAUCCUCAACUCAAGAGAUUUGGACUAUUGUGGAAAAUCUUUGAUCUUAUUAUUCAAUACUUAUUCAAUACAAAAUGAACAAGAUCAACCCUCCCCGUGCAAUUACUGACAAAAGUUGUAUGGUUUUGGGGACCUGAAUAAGUGGAGGGCUGACAGGCAAGGACUUCUUGGUCUGUGCUCGAGGUUGGUUAAGGCCUCGAGCACAGAAGGGGGUUGUGGUUCUAGGGGAAUCCUUAGACCCAACCUCUUCCAAAGCCAUUAGAAAUAAGACUUUGGGCCUUACGGAGCGCCAACAAGUAGUAGGAUACAGUCGUAGGAACUCGGACAAGAAGUUUUGAGACUACUUCUAGUCUCGCACCAAUGUCCCUGUUCUUAGCGAUGGGAAAUGGGGGUCCGACCUACUUAGUAGUCCCUCGGUUUAAGGGAAUACACCCCGCUCAUCCUAUUACCCUGGUUUCUUCCCUGUUGGAAGAAGGCUAUCUCGGCACGAGGCCUUAUAAAUUGUAGAUUUGCUUGGGUCCAGGGCUCCGCCGAUGGCCAGAUAGGCGAAGCGGUUCACCACUCUGCUUCCAGAUUUCUUUUAGUAGACUAACCUAUGAAUAUUCAUUCAGAAAUGAAUGCCUCUUUCACAGCUAACCUCUUCAUGCUGAUAUUUUCUGUUUCGUCGAUAGCUUUUUCUAGAGGGAAAAGGAGCACUGCAAUACUAUAGUUCUCGUCCUGCCUUCCCAACAGGACAGACAGGUUUGCGACUUUCGGAGUUUAGCAGCCGGCUUUGAUCGUUCUAUUACCGGCGUUGGAUCUAUACACAGAUAGGUCGUCCUAUCCCAGCAUUCCGCUUCUUGAAUAUAGACCAACGAUAGCCGCCGUCUUGUGGUCUCUAGGAGAGUGACGGCAGCGGCGAUACCGCUUGAAGUCCUUUCUGUGAACCCCGCCCCGAUUGAUUAUAACUAGAGGUGGUCUCGACCCUUACUUAAGAGAAAAGUCCAAUAGGGGAGCUGCUUGUGGACCUAAGAGGGAGCCCCUUGUUGGGGUCAUGAAAAGAAUCUCUCUGCGCUCCUGUUAGAUGCCGCUUGCCCCUUUCCACUCCUUCACCUCUGGGACAGGCAGUUUCACUCAAAGCUGCUGGAACGAGAGCUCUUUUAUCUCCGAUUCCUUUCCGCCGAACUACCUUUCCUGAAAGAAUAGCGGAACCGGGACUUCUUCAUCUGAGCGUACUUCCAUCAGCUUCAGGAAGUGCAGUUGAAGUAGAGUCGGUAAGCCCAGUUGUUGAUGAAUUAGACUUGUCCCCCGAAUCUAUGCCCGGGGCUAGCGCCAGUUCAGAGUCAGAGUCUUCCCCGUUGGCCAGUCAGAAGAUGAGGCAGCGCCCUUUUUCCUAUUUAUUGACCGUCACCAAGCGGCUGAUAGAUCCUGGUCUAUAUCGUAGUCUCUGGUGGCCUCUUAGGAGUCUGAUAAAGCUGCCCUCCCAUCGGAAAAGACAAAGAAAGGACGGACUACACCUUUCUUUAUCGAUUGGCUUCAUGUUCCGCUGCUUCCCACUCUGUCUUCUACUAAUAAGAUAAGAGUGGUGACCCCAUAUAGACAUUCCUUUAAGGGAGGCUGUCUCCAUACGGGAAUGGUUUCUCCUUCCACCGAACUCUAAGCGCUAGUUUUUCCUAGUAAAGUAAAUAGAUUCCUUUUUUUGGCGACUAAUCCGAUCCGGCUAACCGGAACUGAACUUAAAGCAGGGGAAGAGGCAUCAGCCGCAGAAAGUAAUUGAAUCGGGGAAGUUGCGAGUUUUCGCUAUCCCCAGACAGAACUUUUCCUUCUUCAAGAUAGCACUUACUGGGUGAAAGAAAGAAUGAAACUGUUCAAGGAGAAAGCUUUGAAUCACAAAGAUCUAUUCUAGAGAAAGAGACCCCUAGAAGGGAAUCUUCCAUGAGGGUCGUUGGAUAUGCAUAAAGAAAGUAGGCUAAAUCCAAGGUUGGCCUUUGACCCAUCUCUUGUGGAUCGGUAUAUCCCUUAGUCCAUUACUGAAUAAGUAAUUAGUCAAUUACAUCAUAAGGCUUAAAGAAAGGGGAGGUUUCAUAGCUCUAGCUUGCUGCGUCAACUGGCCCUUCGUCAUCCUUUCUGUGAGGUAGCUUGUCUGGUUAAUGGGGCUCUCUAUUCAAAGAUAGCGGUAAGAGAUGAUAUUUACAAGGACGGGAAGCGGUAUCGAACAAGAAGAGCUGGAAGCGAAGCACCCUUUGAAAAGCUUCUAUCUGACAGGAGGAAGUACUCAACUAGUGAAUGAAAGGAAAGAUGACGCCCAGGCGAAGUCAACUUAUUCAAGAGUCCUCUUUAAUUCAGGUAACUAAUGUUGCGCAUCUAUCUACCAGCAAAGACAGGUUAGAAUGGUAAUCUAUGCUAGGAGUGCCCCUUACCUUAAACCUUAAGUAGCUCACUGAAGGAAGCGUGAAAGUAAGCAAGCAAAGUCUCAACCCGAAAUCAAUAGCCCGCAAGAAAUAGAAAGGAGAAAGCCCAUCUCUUUCCAGUAGUAUGUAGCAAAACUUCCUUGAACUUCUAUGGAGGGCUUAGUUAGCGCAGUUGAGUGGCGCUUGUUGAAUACCUCUCUACGGCCUGUUCCAGGGAAUGCUCUUGUCUAUUUCUAACUAGUGGUGGAAAGAGAAUGAGAAAGAGAGUCAUGAAAGAGAAUCGAUUUCAAGUAGCAGUAGAAGUAGAUUACGUAGUAGUGGUAGCUUGUGACCUCUCCUCUGAACCCUAUUCUUUUCCACUAACAUCUCGCCCGGUAGUAGUAGCUUCCUCCUCUCGCCGUCCCGCCCUUAUAACAACUCUGGAACCCAAAUCAGUCUUGCAGGAGUGGUAACCCCUGUAGUAAGACUCUUCGGCCUCGUAGUCAAUCUACUGAUGAGCCUUAUCGCGGGAGCCUACUGAAGUUUCAAAAAAAGGAAUUGAGAAUCAUCAUAGGCUGUGUUUUAAGUGAAGGAGAGAGACAGGACUUGCUAGGAAUUGAAUCAAUAGGCUCAGGGGCAUGCCCCGUAUCCGCUGCAAGAGAAUCCGCUCUUUGACACAUAUAUUAGACCGUAGCACAAGAGACGAUUCGCUCUAGUCCCGUAACCAAGCGAAAGAGGAUUCAUGGACAGAAGCUGCGGGUAAACCCUCGGUUUGCCCUCAACUAUAUACGUUGAUAGGGGAUAACUUCUUUGCUAGCUACCAGCUAAAGGUGAUACUAUCUACAACUCCUGAAAGAAGGCCAAAUAGUGUCUCAUCCGACAUUCCCUCUCUAAGGAAUGCUUAUUCAAACCAUUUGUGGGAAUUUGAUCAUUUUCUUCUUUAUCUCUUUCUCCUUGCUGGAAGGCUGUUUAUGAGCGGAAGGGAAGUAGAGGUAGAGGGUCCGAAGGAGAGAGGAGAUCUCUGCUCUUAUCGUUAAUUAGGUAUGCCUCCAGAUCUGAAUGUAUACCCUAGGCCAAGGGGUGCGAUCCCCCGAGCAGCUCUUCAUACUAUGGGGUUAUAGUUUCUCCUUGACCUUUCGAUUGAGGGUAUUCAGCAGUGGGCCUACCUUAAGGUAGGAGGUGAUUGAAAAAGGGGAAGCCGGUCCCCUUACAUAGCCAUAAUAGUGACGUUUUUUCGAAGUAGCUGAACAAUGGAAUCGGCUGGUAUAGAAUCAGCUGCACAUUAAUCUUCCUCUAUUCUAUCAAUUUCAUUCUUUUUUAUGUCCACAUGUUUGCUUUAAAAAGGAAGUAAGGCCACCUCUUCAGUUUGAGAACCAGCUGGAACUUGGAUUGCUGACUAAUCUAACCACUUUGGAAGUUCACGGCGGAAAAAACCAUUCCCGACAUCUGGGGAGACUGCUACUUCCCACGAGUCUUUUUUGCAAAGGGGCAGGCAAACCAUUCCUGAGCAAGCAAAGGGUUGACUUAUUCAUUUCUCAAGUAGGAGGGCGCCUUCGCUUCGUAAGGCAGAAUUGGAACAAAGGCCGAAGCCCCUGGGAAGAAGAAAAAGAUUUUAUCCCGCAUCGGAAUAUGCCCCCCUUUCCAAACUCCGCAUCCUGAUCGUUGGGGCAGAAGCUUCUCCAUUCUCCGGGUAAGCAAGCCAUGCUUUUGAGGAUCAAAAUGAUGGUUAGUUCAAUUAACCCAGCCUCAAGGACAGAAAGGGAGGGUAGGGUUUUUCCUUGAUGAGGCGAAAAAGAAAUUCCAGAGCCAUAGCUAUUCCGUGUGGAACAGAACUGGUCCUUACGGAUCUCCAACUACCUGCCCCUAUUCUGCAGUUGGUAUUGGGAGGUUGCCUGGUCCGAGUGGGGAUAGCAUUUCUCAGAAAGAAAAGUCCAAAAUUCUGACUUCCCUCUUAGGCGGGUAUCGGGACAGCGAACCUCCUGCCAAGAGGCCGACGGUUGCUUGCUCCGUUAGGGACGGUUUAUCAUCAGGAAACUCCCAAGCUUGCCGAUGAAGGAGGCCAAUCCUCAGGAAUUUGAUUUCCACUUUUGGGAGAAUCCGAUUUCACGGCGGGCGCACCGGAGUUUUCUCAAUCUCCGAAGCCCGCAGCGACAGGGGUCUCUGUGCGCUACUCAAAUGCGUACUGAAGCUGAAACAAAGUGAUUCCGUUCUGUCUCUCUUUUCUUUUCGGAUUCCGAGGAUGAAAGGCCAAACUAACCCAGUCGCUUUUUUUAGCGGCAUCCCGAAAACGUCCGGGUCGAAAUCCUCUGCUUGCUUCGUCCAUGACACUCGCUAACCAACUGAGAGACCCAAAGAAGGGUUGCCCGCCCAGGAAAAGCUCGAGCGGGAAAGAAGCUUUUUGAAUCUUCCUUGGGAAUCCACACACACACAAACACUCUUUCCUUUUCCCAAAAUGGAUCAAACACCCUUUUCUUCUUUGUUCUUCACCCUUGAAGGUUUUGAAGAUCCCUCAAGAACACCAAGAACACCCAAGAACAAGAUGAACAACCCAAAUUGAAUCCCCCACUUUUCAAUCCGGAAUUCUCUCAAAACUUUAGAAUGUUGUUCCCCUUGAUGAAGAGAACACACCCCUCAGUCUUAAAACCAAUUCCAAAUCUACGAUUACUAAACCCAAGUCCUUCUCCUUCACCACCUCCAACCCCCCUACGACUAUCAGGAUUCUACAUAUCGUCGACAUGAACAAUGAUAUUUUCUUUUACUUUGAUUAGAGGUUGAGUUGGUUUAGCCAACAAACAACAUGGGAUUACUGAACCACGAACGUCGAAAGUCAAACUACGUUUAUAUAGAGAGGAAGCUCGUACUGCGCCAAUCAAAUGAGACGACGAGAGAAGUAGUCAAAAGAAAGGUCGUACUGCGUCGAAAGAGAUUCGACGGUCGUACUGCGUCGAGAUAGCUGAAGGAAGCUAUUCAGAAGCUUACUGCUUCGACGGUUGAGCUAGUUCAAUUGAAGCUAAUGCUAUGCUAUGACGGGCUGCUCGCCUUUAUACGGCUUGGCUUUGCUAUCGCUCCUAUGUAGUGGUCGGCCAGUAGUAUUCCUACCAUACAAGAAUGCCUAUUAUAUAGUGCUAGAAGCUUCGCCAGAAGGAGGAUAGUGCUCCGUAUGGCAAAGAAAGGUGGUUUUCUAACGACUGCACUGUAUUUAAAACAGUGUAGUCUAUCUCUGAAGAGAUACUAUGGGGUAACCCCAUACGUGGAGAACGCACAUCUGUGCCAGUGUCUCUGACGCGAACUGGACUACCUCGUAUCAUUCCAAAAUUUCAUCGAAGUCUUAUUAGACAACGAGGAGAUAGAGGGGAUCAGGUAGUCAAGCUAUACCUUUCAUGGUUUGCUUUAGCAAAGAUUGUAGAAUUAGCCAAACCUAUAAGUAAGGCGACAUUCGAGUCUAUUACUAAAGUAGAUUAUGAUAUGGAUAGCUUUAAGGAAAUACAUGCGGAUAUUAGGAGUUUGACUCCUAUUAUUCGUAAGUAUCUCCCUACAGUUCACACGAUACCCUUGGAUAAAGGGUUGUCGUGGGUCCCUACAUGGAAGAGUACUCCAAAUGACGAUCGUAUGUUCGAUCGGAACGCUGUGCCUAACAUAUUUACUAGUUUGAAAUAUGAGGUUGCCUCGUUUGCAAGGGAUGUACGUUUUGUACAUUCCCUUCCAGAUGGAGUAUUCUCCCCAGGUAUUCUAUUUGCAAAAGGAACGCUUUGGCCUUUCAAUUACAAAUGGAAUACUCAGGUCGCUAAUAAAGAUUUCACUCUUUACGAGACUCCCCCUUAUGGCGUUGGUCAUGUCUUUAAUGACUUGGCUAAUGCCUAUGAAGGGAGGUAUCUUCGACCUGGUAGGAUCGCUCAGGUUAUUGAAGGAGGUGGAAAGAGACGACUGUUUGCCAUAGGAAAUUAUGUCAAGCAACGUCUCCUUCGCCCUGUACAUGAUUGGGCUAUGGAGGUUUUGGCCUCCAUUCCCAUGGAUGGAACCUUUAAUCAAGGAGGUCCCAUCGACCGAUUAUGUAGGUGGGCUUCAACUCAAGGAGAUAGACGCUCUCUUAAGGUCUACUCUUUUGAUUUGAAAUCCGCUACUGAUCGGUUCCCACUGUCGAUUAUCCAUGAGGUUACUUCAGCCUUCUUUGGACCGACAGUGGCAUCAUGUAUUGUUAAUGGGACCUUUGGAUUAAAUUCCUUCGACAUAACUUCUCUUCUUCAACCUAGAUUGAAAUGGAAAUCUUUCCAAUCGUUGUCGAAAAGGAAGCCUGUCUUAGUGAGUUUUGUCCAAGGACAACCAUUGGGGUAUUAUACCUCUUGUGCACUUUUCUCCCUAUCACAUCACUAUUUGGUGUGGUUGGCAGCCGAGCGGUCAUCCCCAGAUAGGGGAAGGUUUACUCGCUACGCUCUUUUAGGUGAUGAUAUAGUUAUCGCCGAUGAGGGUGUAGCAAGGGAGUACAAACGGAUUCUAGAGGAGCUCAGAGUAACUAUAUCUGUUCCUAAAUCUUUAGUUUCAGAUAAUGGUUCCUUUGAGUUCGCAAAGAGGUUUGUGGUGAAUUUUGAGAAAGACUUAUCACCUAUCUCUUUGAAAGCUCUAUUAUCUGUUCGUACAACCUUGGGUUUAUGCCAAUUGGCGGAUAAGUAUGAUAUCAGAAAUGAUUCUACUCUCUUCCGGUUGGCGGGUGCGGGUUUUAGGGCUCGUGCUCGACUGCGAUCUACAACUUCUUGCGGACGUCGUUGGCAGAGGUUGUGGGUUGCUGCUCAUAAACCAUUGAGGAAUAGUCAGCUACCGUUAGAAUGGUGGAUUGGAAGAGGUACCCCUCUCAAUCCCUAUUUGAAGGGAAUCAUGGUUGACUGGCUUAGAAAGGAGUUGAAGCCUAAGCAAUAGGUGCUUCCUCCUGAAAAGCUGACCUUUGAGGGUGAAAGGGACAAUGCCGAGUACACUUUAGUCCACAAUUGGAUGAAAAUGUGGUUAAGGUGGUUACAUUGGUAUUGUUCCGUAGCCCUCUCCCCCGACCCUCCUAUCCAAGACCUUUUCUCUCCUCCAAUUUGUAGUACUACUUGGAAAAGAUCAAACAAGGAUAUUGAUAUAUUCGACGUUUGGUCUUCUCUGGAAGUGUUACGAUUUGGUGGAGGGAGAUUGGUUGAAUAAUUGCCCUCUCCCUUUAGGGGAAGGUGAUGUCCGAUUUCCCGGAUGGAUACGAGGUGGGAUGACAGGUACUGACUUCAUGAUGGUCCCGAGUGAUCACCAAUCACAAAGGGAUAUAGGAUGAUCACAUAGUUGAAUUUAAGCGCACCUUGAGCGUUAAAGCCUAAGGGCAAAUAGCUCUAUGUAAAAGUAGGGCGGGGGGCCCUUAGGUAGAGCUGUGGCGGAUUGGUAACCCGCUACAGCUCACCCCCAAAUUCCUCAAUUGUUCUUCACUAAGAAAUUCACUUUUCUUUUCUUUUAACAUAGAAAAUAGAUCUUUUUGGUAUGUUGAAAUAUUAGUAGGUUCUUUAAUAGUACUAGCUUGAUUUUCAAGUUGACUGUAAUAUUCUCUCCAAAAAUGAUCCAAAAUGAUAUUCUUUUCUUUCUUUUCUGCAGAACCAAUAUCACUCGAUUCCUUUACCGAUGACCCUGUGAGGGUCGUAAGAAGCCUUUCUGAAGAACCAUUUAUCAUUGACAUGAGAUUAGAUGUAGAAUAUUGAGUUUAGGUAAGUAGAUUCUGAUCCAGGUCCUGCUACUUUUGGGCGAUCCUGGCUGUCACGGUGGAACAAAUGAAAUAGGCUUUCUUUGGGCGAUGUUGAGGCGUCGUGGUGCCCAUGAUAGCUGACGACGUGGUGCGGGUGCGGGGAAGAGUUGAACUCAAACUACGUUUAUAUAGAGAGGAAGCUCGUACAGCCCCAAUCAAAUGAGACAAGUAGUCAAAAGAAAGGGCGUACUGCGUCGAGAUAGCUUACUGCUUCAGGGUGGUGAUAGGAUGAAUCCUCGCGAAAGGAGCGGAAGUAGGGGCGGUUAAUAGUAAACUACAGGGGCGAAAGCGUUGAAAGCAGUUGGUUAGGAUUACCCAAGCUCGGGGUAUACUUUACCCUCUAGAGGUCGGUUAGGCGUUGAAAGAGAUUCAAUUUCCCCUAGGUAAGGUGCGUAGCGGGUCGCUCUCACAUCACCACGAACUAAACUGCUAACUACCAAUUCUCCCAUCCUAAAGACUUCGCCCUACUCGCUUGCUAAUGGAGUGAACGAAGGCACGGAUUAUAUACCAAUUGCCACUUACGUGGAGCGAAGGGGAGAGGAAGAAAGCGGCCAUGAUAGUGUAGGUAAAGUAGCUAACGUCUGGUCGAGCAUCUGUAGCUGAUGAAACAAGGGGAAUAGCGGUAACAAAGCCCUUUAACAGGGGUAAUACUAAACGCUAGAGGAAGUCGGGUGGGGAUUACUGAACUCAAACUACGCGUAAUACGUCUACGCUCGUUUAAAAGCCGCUAAAGCCUAUUCAACGAGCUCCAGUAGUCGUAGCUCGGUUAGCACUGUUCUAGCUGCGAUUUAGCUACUUUACGCUAGUAUUGAAGAGAGAGCAGCUGUGGCCAAUGAAAGGAGCGGAAUAGAAGGUGCGUAGCGGGGGAGAGAAGUGGUAACACAGGGGUACGGGUCGAAACAACUUCCAUACUUGUAGCUCGGGGCAAAGGAAGUUGGUUAGGAGUAAUUCACUGGACGGCGGUAAAGUGAGGAAAGAAAGCGUAUAUAGUCGUUUAGCUCCAUACUUUCCGUAUUAGCACAACGAAAAGCAAAAUCAAGGUUUCUACGUCGAGAUAGAGUUGGUGCUACGCAAGAGAAUAGAGUUUAUGGAUGGGAAGAGAUGAAAGGUCGUACUGCGUCGAGAUAGCUCAUAGGUCGUACUGCGUCGAAAGAGAUGAAAGGUCGUACUGCGUCGAGAUAGCUCGUCAGGUCGUACUGCGUCGAGUGAAGGAAGCUAUUCAGAAGCUUACUGAGCAGAAAGCCGAUUCGUUGGGCGAGCAGAGGAAAGAAAGAAAACACUUACUUAUUGCUUUGCUGAUUUCAUUCAAAAGCGAAGGAAGAAAGCUACUCGACCAAAGCAAAGAGCAAGCUGAAAAACGCAAGCAAAAAAUUUCAAUGUAAAGUUUUAUGCAUGCGAAAGAGAAGUCGAAGGCCUUAGUCUGUGCCAGUCCCCGAGGAAUAAGUUGUUCCAGGUAAGACUUUCUAUAGUCGCAUUCCUCUGCUGUCCCCUUGUUUGAGGAGUUCAGAGUUUCAUCCAGUUCCUUACGAGUGUACCAAUUCCCCUCCAGCCAGUCUUAAGCCAACAGUAUCUUAUCACAUCACAAGCCAUCAGGGAAGGGAAAUCCUAGACUCAGACGAGGCUAUGAAAUAGGUGAAGUAGUCCUCAAAACCAUGGGAAGAAAAGAUAUUAAGGUACCCUUGAGGACUGAUGCUGCUGGCUUAUGGGAUGUAGCAGAAAGGGGUGUAACAAAACUUGCAGCAAGAAGGACUGAAACAAACUCCAACUCAAAGAUCCGGGAGGGAAACUAUCCUCUUACCUCGUACCUCGUAGACCUCCUAUCGAUAAAAAAGUAUUCGCUUGUAUCCAAACCUCCUAUUCCACUCUAACUGGUGGAACUCCAGAGGCUUAUGCAACAAGCUUGGUUGUACUGAUAGAUUCAAUUAGGAGCACAACGUAUACUCUAGAAGUCCUACAUAUCCAUCAUAUACAAUAUAUGGGGGAAGAAAUGAGAGGGCCUAACUCUCCAUAGGUGUAGUCUCCCACUCGCUCGCCUGGCACGACAGAAGAAGAAACUCGAUGGAAGGCAGGCAAAAGGAGAGCAACUCUAACUUCAACUUAAACUGGCUCACAGAAGAUAUCGCAGAAAAGCAACCAUACAGGGACGCCGUUGGCUUACUCGCUUUCUUAUCAAUUGUAUUCUCCUUUUUAGGAUAUUCUUUGAAGCUUGAGAUGAGUAAUGAAAUAUCUAUUUCUACACUUUCUCUUCUAUACUCGUCUUGGAAGUAUGGUUUGCGAGCUGCCCGAGAAGAGAUUCCUUAAAGGACAGGGACAGGCCGGGAAUGAGACUUGUAUUGGAAGAAAUGAAAGCCCCUAAAAUCGUUAACCUCAUGAAACUAGGUAAUCUCAUGGUAAGGACAGGUCUUACUAACUUAGACCUCUUAUCCUUCUCAUACUACUUUAGGGGUAGAUCUAUUAGGACUGGUAUGACUGUUAUCCUUUUAUCCUGGUCACUCAUUCACUUAGCUGGAAGCACGCAUUCAUAUCUGUCUUGGUAAGUAAGAUUAGGUUAGUCUUCCUUACGAAGAGUGGGCAUGAUCGAUUUGAAAUGUGAGCAGCGGAUCAGAAAAUACCUAAUAAGAAUGCACUUGAGCACCUCAGAUCAGACAUAAAGCGGGAAGUGCUUUUACCUAUUACUUUAGACCUGGGACUUUCCGGGCAUAUAACGGUUUUAAAGGUGCUCUUCACUGGUCUUUCUCCUCCGCAGGUUAAGCCUACUCCUCAAUAAACAUCUUAUCUCAUCCACCUAUUUCAUAGCCUCGUCUUCCUCCAUGAGGCUACUACUCGACUCGGGAUAUUCCUACUGUUCGGACUAAACUGGAUCUACUCAUGCUGGACCGACUGUGCAAUACCAACAAUGGAGCACGCUGCCCGUCCGCGGAAGCAUUCUGGUAGGAAGGCCGGCCACCACACUACAUAAGAUAGAGCUGGCGGAGAAAGCUCGAAGAGCUUAGCUUCCCUUGUCUCUGUUCUACCCAAGCUUUGAACUUCCUGUAUGUAUUUCGAUCGAACCACUUGAAAAACUCCCAGUGUGUAGGAGACAACCCUCCCUGCAGGCCGAUCUAUGAGGGAAGGUAAAUUCCAUCUCUAUCCCCCAGGUAAAGUACUCUAAGAAAGAAGGACAGCUCAGCUCUAUCUAUGAGGUAAAGAUACCCUGAUUAAGGUGGUGCAAUGGACAGCUAGCUAUAGAAUCGGUAGCCGGGCGGAGCAGCUCGAAGAGGGGCAUCUAUCUCUAUUGAUCGAGCUAAAGGUUUUUAUUCCGGGGAGGAGAAAAGGAAGUCAAGUGCUACUUAUUACUUACAAAAGGCGAACCACAGAAGGAAGAGCUUUUUCUCGGUAUCAAUGACUCACUUAUAGGCAAAAGAAAAAGAGUGGACUUGGUCAUCGCUAUUGGUUUUCUUUAAAGAUCCAUCAACUCAAAGAGAAUGAUUGUCGGAAGCGGAAGUGACUUCGCGGGCGUGCAUACUUACUUAGUUACGACUUCUUCCAACUGCGAGGAAAAAGCUUUCCAGCAGUCCAAGCAGAUGCGAGUGAAAUUGCUGCUCCGGAAUUAUUUUUCGCUUUUAUGAAGCCUGGAACCAUGUGUAGCCUGUGCGAAGGAAGCCUAGACUGGAAAGGUGGGAUCGAAUCCAUCCUAAAAAAGAAAGAAUUACCCUUCAUCUCUUGAGCUCAGUAGGAUAUACUUGAUUCAACUUUCAGUUAGCAUUCAAAUGCAACUAUAUGCUUAACGCAUUUAGUUCAAUGUAGGUGUAGGUAAGGAUGUGCUCUAAGGGAUAAAUUUUUCUAUUCCCAUCCCGAAUCUACUUAUCGAUACUCGUCGAUACUCGGUUCAUUCAGUUCUUUAUAAGAGCAGUAGUCACAUCCUGUCUUCUAUCCCCUCCUCCCCCCAUGCGCGGAAGGAAGUUUCAUUUGGCGGUAUCGUAUAUAAAAAUUACGACUUCAUUUAGAAAAACUCGAAAUAUCAUAAGAGAAGAGAAGAAAAAGAAUCUUACGCCCAAAAAUCCCAUUUCUUUCUUUGUUGAAGUUCCCCUUCUCCGGCAGCUAGUUCAAUGGUUUCUAAGCUGGAUGACUGGUAUUCUCUGGAUGGACGGUAAAUCCAGGUAUGCUGCUGGUCUUUAGAAGGACCAAGGGAAUCCUGGUCUUCUCUCCUAACGAAUUUCCCCUUUGCUACUCCCUUUCGCUACCUGGAGCCAGGUUUUUUCUUAUUAUAGAUAACGUACGCACAGGUGAUCUAUCUAAUUAAUGGACUAGCUUCACUAAGACUCAUUCGAUCUUCUAUAGCGACUUUCGGACCAUUCCAUUCAUUGUCUUCUUCUCAACCUCUCCUCGGUCACUGAACUGGGUUACUGAACUCCACCUUCUCGGAAUCCCAUUUCUGAAAGUCAGGUCGAAGGCAAAUGGAUUCCCUUGCUUGGGCAAUAAAAAAGUCUAUGAUUCUCAUCUCGAAAAAAGAGUUUAAAGUUACGGCACCUCCUAUAACUACACCACCAAGACCGGGUAACAGAACAGCGGCCAGAGCAGCAGAUUCCAUAGCCGCGGUUCUUCCUCCAUCAAAAGGCUCUGAGCCUGCGUAGUAGCUAGGCUACGAGAUUGAUUCUCUGAUGAUAGAAAGAGAGAGGAUAGAGGAUCACGCUUACAAGCAGCCUUUUCCAUCGUCUUUCGCUGACCCUGGUUCUAUCAAACCAGCUUCUUCAAUCCUGGUGUGAACUUCUUCCUGCCUUCUUACCCAAGAGCUCUGAUUCCGCUUAAAUAAAAGCAGCUCUUCUUCCUUACUCUUUCGAGUAAGCAUUUUGAAACUUCCUUAAACAUCUGCUUCAAAGAGCUAAGCCCCGGUCUCACUGAACUGGGUCAAAGAACUACCUUCCUGGAGCUACCUCCUUACUUAGAUCGUUCGUUCCCCAAUUCAAACUCGGAUCAGUUGGCAAGUGGAUUCCGUGCCUGGGUACGAAACUCUAAACUAGAAAUUCGAUCUUGAAAGAGUGAAAUCUAGCCUUUUGUCUUUAUCCUUUAUGGGUCUGGGCUAAUUCUUGAAAGCAGCAACUCCUACACCUACCGAAACUUUAACAGAACAACUACGGAUUCUCACCCUCGAGUCAGGAGCUCGCUUUCAAUCUCUAAGAGCCGAUUCGAUGGCAUCUUCUCUUAUGAUCUUUCUAGUUAGCACGUAGUGGGAAUAGUCCCUCAUCGACACGGGAAGAGAGCUUCAAGCAAAAAGGGCUUGUGCAAGCAAGUGACACUUUACUUCAAGCGAAUAGUGCUGCCUCACUUUCUUUAGCUAGGCUGAGAAGCCGAUUCCCGACAUAGACUAUUUCCUUCUCAUCGAAAGAUGCCUAAGACCUUUUCACCAAAACCUAAACCCCCUGCUCCUCGAACAAUUGAAUCAGAAGUCAAGAUAUUCACACCCACGCAUAAAGAAUAGCCUGUGAAUGCCCUCUUUUUUAGGAAGAAUUUGACAUUGACCAGGAAUGAGAGCAGAAUGAGCCUAACGACGUACCUUCAACUCGAAAGGCUAAGCCAAUAAGAGAGAGCUGUCUCCUUCCGUGUGAAAGAAUUGGAUCUUUUCUUUUAAAGAACAAUCCUUUUCCUGGAGUUUUCUUGAGAUACCUCAAGAUAGGACAAAAAGCCUCCCAGUGAUCUUGUCUUGGAUUCUGCAUGAAUUGACUAACCACUCCAAGAGCAAGGGUUAGAUCUGGUCGGGUUACAGUCAGAUAGAUAAGCUUUCCAACCAAACGUCUAUACCUCUCUGGAUUUUCAAAGAGCAGGCCAUCAUCCUUACUGAAUUUCAAAGUCGGAUCCAUAGGAGUAUCCACAUUGCUCCCAACAAUCCAGUCUGCUCUAAAAAGUCUGUAACAUACUUCCUUUGAUAAAGUGAUAUUCCCGCCUUUGAUCUUGCUACUUCAAUACCCAACAAGUAUCCAAGCUUUCCAAGAUCCUUGGUAAAAAAGUGUUUACUAAAAUACUGUUUCAGGUCAACAAUUCCUGUCCUCUCACUACCUGUAAUUACAAUAUCAUCAACAUAGACAGCAAGGAUUAGAGAUCCACUUUGGAUAUGACGAACAAAUACUGAAUGAUCAACCUCAGUUUGCUUCAGCCCAUAUGCAGAAAGAACGUCGACUAAAUUUAGCAAACCAUGCCCUCUGGAUUCUGUUCUAGACUUACCAAUCUUGGCUAGCUUGUUUUCCUUGCGCUAAGCCCUUCUCUUAUCUACAACUUUGGCGAAUAGUGAAAAUCAUUAUUCCCUCCAAUCUUUAUGGAAUGAUUUGACCCCCACUCCUAGCGUGCUAAGCCGUAGUAUGUUUUUUAAGAAGAUCCUUCCCAGUGUGCCAAGCCCCCUCCCAACGGUCUCAGGCCAUGGUCUGGGUCAAUGAACUAGUCUCGUCCCCCUAACCUAAGAGUUCUGGUUAUGACCAGCCGAAAACAGGUCCUCUAGAUGCCUUAUAACCGUCCUUUUUGCCCAUUCCCGCUUAUGCGUACUUCAUGGCUGAUAGGCCUACAGACGCUUGAGGCCCCGGAAUAGCCUUGCUUUCACGUUCCCCCUCUUUCCUUAGAUCAGGUUAGCACUUAUGCUGCUUCACGCAACUAUAUUCAAUCAAUUGAGUAGAGAGGGCAAUUGAAUCAGUCGUCAUCCUUCGCUCUUGUGCUAAAGGCUCUCUUACCACAGGUCGCCAUUCCAUCCUUUUUCGAAAGGGUAGAUGCUUUUCUCCUCGAUUCAUCGAGAUUUCAAGUUGACAUCUCGAACAUAAUCCUGUUGUUGGUAAUGGCCUUGGCGAAUGACUUGCCACGCUUUCUGGGCUUGACUCUUGUGGGAUGGGAUGUGCUCAGCCGCCUCCAACUCUUUCUGUGGGUCAGACAACUUCCUUAAGUCAGCAGACAUCAUAUUGAUCUCUACUGCUCCCGCAAACGGUGAUGUCUCGAUUCCCAUUGGUCGGUCUGCUAUCCGGAACAAACCUUUGUCCAAGUAAUCUUGAAUCAGAUUCCUUCAAUUUACACAAUUAUUUGUAGAGUGAGUCCAUUUCUCGUGCCAUUUACAAUAACGUUUUCCUUUUCUUUCUUCUUUUUUAGGUAUCUUAUGUCCAGGCAGACAGGUCAAAAGCUGUUGAUAACCCGGCGGCUGCUUCAGAGCUUCAGAUGCCAACCAGUCGGCCGCGAUCUUACCUUCUCUCUUCUCUAUGAGUAUGCUUACAAAAGCACUGCCAAUCCCUUUGAACAAGAUUCCUGCAAGCUUGGAUCAGUUGUGCUUGAGGGUGAUUAGAGGAAAUCAAAUGAAUCACAGCAUGCAAACAAUAUUCCAAAUCUGUUUCAAGAAUGACCUGCUUGUAACCCAAAUCCCAUGCCAACAUAAGGCCACGGUAGAUGGCCCAGAAUUCAGCCACAUUCUUGGUUGUACAAUCCAAAUUCUCAAAGAAAGCAGACACCCAUCCGCAUUCAUUUUAACAAAAAAGACUGUAAGGGGAAACCUUCUAACAAAAAUAUUCGUAUAUUCUCGCUCAUCCACGGGUUUUUCCCAAGCCAAAACCUACUCCUAAGAAGUUGCUGGAUCGAAGUAGUACAUUAUACAUCUGCCCGCCAGCAGCAGAGGCGGUUCGAUUCCCCUUAUACGCGAUGUGGCGAAAAAGACUGAUUCAACGAGAUAUGCCUGCAUGUCGAGAGUGCGCUCCCUCUCUCUCAGCUAAGGAAAGAGAUAGAGAAUUCAUGUACUUCGCGAUUUCCUGCGGAUCUAUCGUAUCGUUACUUCUCUCUGAUUGUGAUUUCCCAUGUGCCGUACUAUACCGCUAAGGAAAACAAACAAGAACCAGGCUAGGCUACUCCUCUUCCCCUUUCUGAAUCAACUUGUCCUUGCGCUUACCACUUCUGAAAACUUGCGAGCGAGUGUCGAUCGCUCCUUUGCCUGGGCAAGAUCUGACGACUCCUGCCCAAAGAUGGCGGGUUACGAAUUCAGAUUAGCUACUGCCAAAGAGGCCAGGAACGAGCUUCCGCUUUAUCUAAAGAAAAAACCUCUUCCUUUCUCUCUUCCUGAUCAGCGGAUUCAGAGUGAUCAGGUGAAGCCCCCCUUCUCGUUGUACCGAAAUAGAGAUCUGAUUUAAACGACCAGGUACAGCAUAUGAGUUCGAUCCAUUAGGUUCUUUUUUUUUUCAGAAAAGAAACGAGAGACAAGAAAACAUCUUUGAUUACGAUUAAAAGGAACAAUCUCAAAUAGACCAAGAUCCAAUUUCGGGUCAUUUCUUGGUGAACAUGAUCUGCCAUAAUCUCUUCGAUCCCUUCAUUUAUGUGCCAGAAUAGAGAGAGAUUUGGUAGGAAAGUGGAAGAGACCUUUUUGUAUAUGAUAAUCAAAGGGAGUGGGAAAGCUGCAGUAAUUCUUUGGAAAAGCCCGGUUCUCUUUGUCUUCGAGCUUUCAUUCCUCAAUCCACUGAUUCCUUCCUUCAUAUGCCUCCCCACCAAUAGAUAGAGACAAAUAGGAAUAACCGAACCACGUCUACAAAAUGCCAGUACCAUGCAGCUGCUUCAAAGCCAACGUGAUGCUCCUUGGUCAGAUGACCAAGAUAUUGGCGAAUACCACAUAUGAUCGAGAAAAUAGUACCUAUAAUCACAUGAAAACCAUGAAAGCCAGUUGCUAAGAAAAAGGUAGAACCAUAAAUACUAUCCGAAAUAGUGAAGGGUGCUUGAUAAUAUUCCAUUCCUUGAAA